UGGGGAAUAUUGCACAAUGGGCGCAAGCCUGAUGCAGCCAUGCCGCGGGUAUGAAGAAGGCCUUCGGGUUGUAAAGUACUUUCAGCGGGGAGGAAGGGAGUAAAGUUAAUACCUUUGCUCAGUGACGUUACCCGCAGAAGAAGCACCGGCGAACUCCGUGCCAGCAGCCGCGGUAAUACGGAGGGUGCAAGCGUUAAUCGGAAUUACUUGGCGUAAAGCGCACGCAGGCGGUUUGUUAAGUCAGAUGUGAAAUCCCCGGGCUCAACCUGGGAACUGCAUCUGUUACUGGCAAGGUUGAGUCUCGUAGAGGGGGGUAGAAUUCCAGGUGUAGCGGUGAAAUGCGUAGGGAUCUGGAGGAAUACCGGUGGCGAAGGCGGCCCCCUGGACAAAGGCUGACGCUCAGGUGCGAAAGCGUGGGGAGCAAACAGG
rnacentral:rRNA from 1 species